UUUUUAAAAGAAAAGACGAGUUAUACCCUUCUUUUUAAGACGCACAUUUGAUGCAUUUUUAAGUAUUUUGGAUAUCUGUAUGGAUCAUUUGAUAUGUCUAUGAUGUAGUUCUCGAAAUGGCUUCAAGAUGACAUAUGCGAUUUGCAGAUUCAGCUACUAUAUGAUCAUCGGAGAUUUUUAAAGUUAGCAUGUUAUUGAAAUUCUCAAAAUACUAGUUUGGAAUGAUAUACUUUGACAAGCCGUAACAUUUUCUACGGUUGGCUGUUUCACAUGCCAUUUAUAAUGUAGAAAAUUAGGUCAUGAACAUUUAGAAAUAGUAUUAAGAAUGUAAUAUUUCGAUUUCAUUUGACAUCUCGUAAUGACUUUGAAAAUUGAGACAAAAACAUAAGGGAAAAAAAUGCAUUUGUGGGUUGGGUCGGUUAAUUAAUGGAUUGGUCACUUAAACCGAAAACAACCCAACUUGAUUUUUUAAUGGUUAAAAUUAACCAAACCAAACUAAAUUUAUAAUCCAAACCAACCCAAACUGACUUGAAUCGGUUUGGUUUGAUUGAUUUCGUCGGUUUUUCGAUUUUUUCGCCCACCUCUAAUUUGAAUGCCCUGUGUCACCGAUUUGCCCAUGUGCCAAUAUUUGUUGACUGCAGACUGUUAUUACCAUUGACCACCAGCCUACCACUUUACUGUUUGUUUUCUCUCUCCCAUCGACCACCACUUCAAGUCUUCAUUGCCAUUUCCCACUUCGGUCUUCGCUGUCACGAUGUCCAUCUCCUUCUGUGUCAUAUGAUGUGGUCUGUCACAUCUGUAUAUUUCUAACUUCUGGCCGGCUCUAAUCCAUCCGUAGUCCACUGCCAUCUUCUUGAAGGCAUGUCACAUUUCCAUUUGAUUUUAGUUAUUUUCUUCCAAUUUUAGUGUCUAUAAUGUAUUUUAGUUCUAUUUCUGAUUUAUAUAUAACUUAUUCUUGCCAAAUAAUUGUGUUUUUUCCCAUUAAUUGUGUUUUCUGAUUUAGUGUUUUCCAAUUUGGGAUUUAGGAUUUUUCGAUUUAUGACUUUCUUUUUUAUAUGUAAAUUGAUUUAGGAAGAUUGAAACUUUGUUUGAAUUCUGGUAGGUAUGACUUAGAAGAAGAAAUUGAUUUUUAGGGAUUUCUAAUAUUGUCGAUUUUAGUUUAUUCUCAAUGUUAGUUGAUGAAUCUCGAGACAAUUCAGUAAAGGAUCAAAUGUCAGUUAUCAUUCGUUAUGUGAAGAAUGAGUGUGUAUUAGAAUAUUUUUAUUGGUGUCAUUUAUGUUUCGAGUACCACAGCUGCUUCACUUAAGGCUGCAAUUAAUUAAUUAUUCUCAAUGCAUAGCUUAAGCAUGACUAAUUUGAGAGGUCAGUUAUAUGAUGGAGCUAGUAACAUGUGAGGUGAAUAUAAUGGCCUUAAAGCACUUAUUUUAAAAGAAAACCCAAAUGCUUACUACAUUUGUUGCUCUGCUCAUUAACAUGAACUAGCUUUUGUAGUUGUAACACAGAAACAUCUGAAGAUUGAAACUUUCUUCACUACAGUACACAAAUUGGUGUAUAUUGUUGGAAGAUCAGCUAAACGGAGUUAUCCUAUUUGAGAGAACCAAAGAUUGAAAAUUCUUGAAUAAUUCAGUAUUGGUAGAAUAUCAAGCAAGUGAAAUCUCAAUCAAGAAAUUACUCUUUAGCGUCCUGGUGAUGCACAUUGGGGUUCUCACUAUAGUUGUUUAAUUAACUUGAUUGUCAUGUUUCAAAAAAUAGUCGACUUUAUUGAGAUAAUUGCGAUUGACACUACAAGUGCCAGAACAAGUGGCGAUGCACGUAUUUCAUUUGAGUUGAUGUUAAGAUUUGAAUUUACAUUUAAUCUACAUCUCAUUAAAAAGAUUUUAGGGAUUUCAAACGAAUUGUAGAGAGCAUUACAAAAAAAUAAAAAAUAAAAAAAAAUCAAGAUAUUGUCAAUGUUAUGAGAUUGGUGCAAAUAUAUAAAGCACAGCUCCAAACCAUGAUGGAUAAUGGAUGGGAUCUUUUUGGACUAGUUUGUUCGUUCUGGGAAACUCAUAAGAUCAAUGUUCCCAUAUGGAUGAUAUGUUCAUAACUCUAGGCUGUUCAAGGCGUGAGUCAGUGACAAAUUUGCAUCAUUUUCGUGUGGAAACGUUUUAUGCCAUAAUUGAUGUGCAACUUCAAGAGUUGAAUCAUCAUUUUUCCAAGGAUCAAAGUGAUUUGACUAUGUCAGUAUUAUCUGGUAGAUUUUGAUGCGACGGGCAUAUCAAAACUUGAUCAAUUAGAUACAUAUAUUCUCGAUAUGCGCACUUCCUAAGAUUUUGAAGGAUUACAAGGCAUUGGUGAUGUUGCGCAGUAGUUGGUUGCAAAGAAUAAACAUGAAGUAUAUCCAUUAGUCUACAAGUUUGUGACAUUAGCUUUAGUUCUUCCUAUGGCUACUGUCACAGUCGAGAGAGCAUUUUCUGCGAUGACUUACGUUAAAAUGUGUCUGAGGAUCCGAAUCGGAGAUCAAUGGUUGAAUAAUAGUUUGAUUGCAUAUAUUGAGAAAGAUAUUUUCAACAAGAUUGAAAAUCAUGUAACUAUAGAACGUUAUCAAAGUAUGAGAAUACGUAGAAAACAAUUGUAAUAAGAUAUCUCUUACUUUAAUUUUCA